rnacentral:rRNA from 1 species
GCCACGUGAAAAGAAGGCAGAGAGGAGGGUGAGAGAGGAAGAGGUGCUCCACAGCUCGAGCGGCGGAGGAGCGGAGGCGAUUCCUGUGGUUCAUGUUGAUUCCGAGAUACUCUUUCGCUCGAGCUUGAUUGCUCUUCCCUUUCUCUUCAUUCCUCGGCUGCCCAGUUGUUUUUUCUCGUCUCUCUCUUCCCUGUGUGAUCUAGGUCUCUCCUUUGUUUCUGCUAGUGUAGCUUCGAGAUCUAUGUCUGUUCUGGUGUUGGAUUGAUGGAUGGUGUAUGUUGCUGCCCGUGUUUGGUGUAGGUUUCGUUGCUCUUGUAGAUUUGCCCCAUGGCUCCCGAUGUGUUUGUGUAAGAUCUAUGUAAUCGAUGUGAUUCCUCUAUUUAGGCCUUUAGCUAUUUCUUGUUUGAAUCCCCUCGGGUGUAGGCGCUGGUAGGUGUUUCGCUUCAUGUAGUCGUUGGUAGGAGUCUAGAUUUAUGGAUUUUGUUGGGGGUUUUCUUGUGGUUAGGGUUGGUGAUUUUGCUCUGGUAGGGGGCCUCUGUAUUGCUUCGUGUGGCUCAUCCUUGGGGUUAUCCCUUGUAUCCUCUUGAUUUUUCGUUCUAGAUGUAUGUAAUUUAGGGUAGGUUAGAUGUAGGUGUUUGUUUCCCUGGUUUAGGAUUUCCUCAGUAUAUCAUAAUUUUAGAGAUUAGUACUGCUAUAUUUUCUUUGCCAGUAUGAUUCUUCAGUGGAUGUCCCUGAUUGUGUUUUUUUCGGUAAUCCCCUGUGUUCUAGCCCUGCUAUUGCCCUUAUGUUGUCAGUCUUAGACCCCUCCAGUGCAUUUUUUCAAUUUCCUUUGUAUUAGAUUGCAAGCUUAGAUAUUAAUGUGUACUUUAAGUAGUAUUUUCGUCGUUAAAUCCUGUGCACUUAGUCAUUGACAGCAUUUUUCAUGUGCUUACACCGUAGUUCAUGUUCUUGCCCUGAAUUUUUGUGUAGGGUUUUCAUUACACUGUAAUAUUCAUAUGAUUUUGUAGUGUAAUUCCCAUGCUUAGUCAGUGUAUUUUUUAGAUAUAUUACAAUGUCAUUUACCCCCGAAUUACACUGUAAUUCCCAUGAAUUUCCUCUUUAUUUUCAUUUUUCUUAGGCUACUUCUUUUACACUGUAAUAUUCAUCUGAUUUGCAGUGUAAUUCCCAUGCUUAGUCACUGUAUUUUUUAGUUAUAUUACAAUGUAAUUUACCCCAGAAUUCCACUGUAAUUCCCAUGAAUUUCAUGUAGGUUUUCAUUUCUUAGGCUUCUUCAUCACACUAAGUGUAAUUUUCAGAACUAUGGUCCCUCUAGGCUACUAGGUUUGAUGUGUAUUGCAUCCAUUUUUAGAACUUUUUUUGGUCUGCUGCUUAACUUGCGAUUUCACAGCAAGUGUAAUUUCAGGGGCAAUCAAUACUGUAAAUUCAGGUCAAUUAUAAUGGAAAUCAGUGUAAUUUCAGUGCACUUGCACUGUAAUUUGAGGAGUUUUACAGUGUAAAUUUAGGGAAAUUACUACUGUAAUUCAUGUACAAUAUUCAGUGUAAUUUGCAGGGCAAUUACUGUGUAAAUCAGAGGGAAAUUACACUGUAAUUCACUAAUUCUUGUGCAACUCACUGUAAGUCACAGGGCAGUUACAAUAUAAUUUUCAUGGCUAUUUUGUUUGGUUUGUCUUUGUUGGGUAACAUCUCUUUUCUAGAUAGUUUUAGGGGUUUGUUAACGUCAGGUGAUACUGUCAAAACUACAAAUCUACGGAUUUGUAAUGUAAUUCAACUUCACAUUUACACUGUAACUCCACCGUAGAACUGUAAAUAUACUAGUGUAAUUCAACUGAUUCACUACUAUAAAUUACAAAUGAGGUUCACAAACCUGUACUAAUUUAUAGUGGUAUAAUCUAUAGUUCUUACAGUGGUUAUAUGCAGCAGUUUUUUUCAUAAUUUUCAAGGUGUACUCAUGUUAAUUACAAUGCUAUUUUUGUUCUACUGUUGAUCUACUCUGUUUUCAUGUACACCCCCCCUCUUUGUUCUGGUGGUUUGGCAGCGAGUCUAGUUGAGUGCAACCCGUUUGGCCACUGUAAUAUUUACACAGUAUUUUCUUAGAAGUCCUAGUAGUAAUGCCACUGUAAUAUUUACACAGUAUCAGUAAAGUUCUGUGUAAAUACAAUCACCGAUUAUCUAUAAGUUCCUAUCAUAAUGUCACUGUAAUGUUCAAACAGUAUGUAUGUAAGUACUGUGUAAAUACACUGUAAUUUUUAAGAAGUUUCAGUGCUAAAUUUGACUUAAGUUGUGUGUAUCUAGAUUGUAGCUCUUAAGAUACACUGCAAGUAGACUCUAAGUAGACUAUAAUGAUAGUGUAAUUAUCACUGUAAUUUUCUCUCUCUCAAAUGACAGUGUAAGUUCUGUGUGAAUCCACUGUGAUCAUUGUUUUCAUACUUUCUGUAAGUUCCGGUCAUAAUGUCACUGUAAUAAUCACACGGUACGAGUGUAAGUUCUGUGUAAAUGCACUGUAAUUCUAGAAGUUCCAGUGCUAAUUUGACUUGCAAAUUUUGUCUAUUUUAGACUUCAACUCUUAAGAUAUCAUUGUAACUGUAAGUAGACUGCAAGUUACCAACAGAUUAUAAUGGCGGUCUAAUUAUCACUGCAAUUUUCUCCCAAAUGACUGUAAGUGGACAGUAUGUUGACGCCACUGAUGCCAGACCUACAAAUAGUAGGUUAAUGGAUCUGUAGGGCUUUUUUGGGCUAUGGUAUUGCGAUAGUUGUAGCUCACAUUUGUUUGAAACCGGGUUCAGUUCCAACCCGGUUAGGAUUGACAUUUUAGCAUUGACAUGCACAUAGCGGAGAUACACAAAAAGGAGAUGCACAAAUACGUACAAGUGUCAUCUUAUUAUUGGUUGGAAAACUUGACUGAUGCCUAAAUGAUUUUCAGUCAAACGUCAAAUAGACACUCCCAAUAACUAAAAUAAUGAUGGAGAAUCAAGGCUGGGACUACUUCAGGUUGAUUAAACAAGACACCCAAGUGCGGCUCCUGGUGGUCGAUGCAAAGAGACAGUGCUAGAUGAUAUACAAUAAACUCAUCGGAGACCGGAGUCCGCGAGGAUGAGGGACACGACCCAUUGAAAAACUGAUGGAUGCGUGGUUAUUUGUUUGGCUGUCAAGGCCAUCACUUGGUCGAAUUGCCGUGCAGUCGCUUCAUCCGAAAAGUACAUCAGGUGAUAUCCAUCCUAUCUUUUUCAUCUAUAUACAAUAAUAUGUCUACGAACAGGUAACCUGGCUGGUAAUAUUUUUGCGCAGGACAAUUAUUCAUCACAAAAGUGAUGCCAUGCGGCGGAUAUGGAGCGGGUGCUAGCAUCAUUAUGCAAUGGCGUCCGCGCCCACUUGUUGUUCUAUGGGCAUGCGCAAGUCACCGCCCCUGCGGCCUGGUCUACAAUUGACUCACUAGGACCGCGACUGCGUGCUACUUAAUGGGUGUGCGCAAGCCGCCACCCGCGCGGCUCAUACUACAUCAACACAAUGCGGCUAACUUGCCCGUCCGCACGGUUUACCGCGCGCUUCACCGUGGUGAUCAACUAAUCAUCAACUCCGCGGUGGAUAAUUUCUGGCCUGACAUAUCAGGUGAAAUCCAUCUAGUAUAUUUUUAUAUUACAUAUUGCUUUCUUUAAAAGAACAAUUGCUCUGGC